UAAGUGAAUAGUGAAAUCUGGCGGCUCAACCGUACAGGCUAUUAUUCAAACUCACUGACUCGAGAACAGCAGAGGUAACUGGAAUUUCUGAAGUAGGGGUAAUAUCCGUAGAUAUCAGAAGGAACACCAAUGGCGUAGGCAGGUUACUAGACCAUUUCUGACACUGAGGCACGAAAGCGUGGGGAGCGAACGGGAUUAGAUACCCCGGUAGUCCACGCCGUAAACGAUGGAUACUA
rnacentral:rRNA from 1 species